ensembl:lncRNA
GUUCAGUUUGCUGUGCGCUGCGGUGGCCGAGGGCUCUGAUGGAUUUUAACUUACAGCUUACGGUGUUACAGUCCUAUCAUUCAGAAGCCCCCACAAAAUCACAGCCGGAGUCUCCAAGCUGGUCACUGGGGUUAAACUGUUCCACAAAGCCAUGAGCCACGCAGAUCUGUCAAAAUCAUUGCUUAGAGGCCAAGCAAUGGAAUACUGAGAAAGUUUUGAAUGGAUCCGGUUCUGGGUAAGUGUGAGUACCCAUCUUGACUUUUUGUGGUAUUCAAAAUGGUGAAUUACAGCUCUGAUUUAGAAGAAUAACAUGAGAGCUAUUCUGGGACCGUAGUCUCCAAAUUCUUCCCCUUUGGGUGUAAAGCAGGCAAAACGUCUGGAUUUGCUGAAUAAAAAGUCGAUGCCAGUAGAUAACUGUUGGGAACUAUUUUGACUGCGGCCAACAAAUAUAUCUCAUCACUAUGGCUGCAAAAACAAACACCCACCAAAGAACUAUAUCCGACACAGGGAAAAGAAUGAAGGGAAACGGAAUAAUUUGCAGGCUGGAUUAAAUUCUUCACGUUCCCUCACACAAAUCAGUAGUUAAAAUGGGGUGAACGCUGAUCCUGGUGCAGAUACGCUGCUGGAGAUCCUGCCACUCUGACAGCAGCAGUCAAACACCACUUUAAUACAGAAAUGUGUCUUCUAUUCAAAGAUAUUCCAUCCCAUAUUUUUGAUUAUGGAACGGGUUUGAAAUCAAGGGUAUAGUUUUGCUUUUAAGUUGAGUUCAAAUUGAUUAUUUUUUUUUUAAUGUUUUCUUUUCUUGCCCUUCUGUUUUGUUUGUAGUUAAAGGAAACAGAACUUCCCCAAUGUUCUCUUAAGAAUUCUGCCUAUUUAAGUGGAAUGGGACCAAUCCAUACUUAAGCAAAUAUUCCAGUACUAGCAAAAAUGUAGUUUCCAGUAGUUUCCUGUAAAAUGCAUUCAUAUAUUUUAAUUCCAAAUAUUUGUAAUUAUAAACAACGAUGACAAAGUAAAAAAAAAAAAAAAAAGAGAGAGAGUUCUGCAUCCAGGGCUGUAUAUAAAUAAAGGGAAUAUAUAUGUCAGCAUACGUUUUAGUAAGGGAGGGGCUCAGCUCACACUGGGAUGGCUGCUGCCCUUCCUCAUUGAUGUGCCAUUUAUCCACUUACGCAGCUGCUGCUGAAACAUCAGCAUUUACAGCCAGAUUGAACAUGAGUUUGGUGCUAUUUGGUCUGAGCAGUUUUGGUACUUAAUAGUUGGUAUUAAGUAGCUGUUAAGCAUCCUUUCUGCCAGGAGCUGAGCUGCUGCUGUGUAGCAGGGGAAACCUGGAGAGACGAGAGGCCAGAGGAAGAAACAGAGAACCUAUUCCAAAAUCAGCCUGCAGAUUUCACAGAUUGAUGCUCUAAGAGGAAGAUGGUAACGAUCAAAAUAAACAAGCAAGUCAAACUCCAGCUCUGUGGAUGAGAGCAUCAGUUCUCCAGACUCUUACUGAUACUUUUCUGCUCAGGAAAGCCUUGCUCACUUUGCCAUGAGUGAUUCCUGAAGACAAGUUGUACCGGCACUCAUUAUGUCCUUCCUGCUCUUCCUCUGGAAAGAUCCAGUUCCUCUUAAUCAUUCUGAAUCUCAGCACACAGCCAUGGGACAUGCCUCCCAUCCUCUGCUAAGAUGUAAUGAUGAAAUAACAUAUAUAUGACUUCAAAAUAAUGGAUAAAUUCUUCCUUCAGAAUAACCCAGUCGUUUCUUUAUAGAAAGAGUUUCAGGAACAGUGAAAGACGUGAACCCAUAUCAUUAGAAGAGCUGACUGCAGUAACUCUUGAUGACGUGCUUGCUAUUCCAGACCGUAUCCCAUCCAACGAAGAACACUGUCCUGCAGAGCUUACACUCAAACCCAAUGAAAUGCGCAUGCUUACAAAGGUACCGCAGAACUAAAUAAUACACUGAUGUGCUUCCAGAAUCUUUCUGGCAACAGCUUUUUAAACAUUAAAGGUAGAGUUUUGUAUUUACACUGCAGUUUAUGGAUAGCCAUAAACAUUAUAGAAGACAUUUCCUAGCUGUGAAAGGGCUGAAGAUCUAAAUCUACCUUACCUCUUUUAAUUUAUUUUGCGCCAUAAAUGAUGUUGAAAUAUACUGAAUUUAACAACUUUCAAAUAGUUUCUGUACUUCGCUUGUGUAUUUUAGAAAAGUAAAUCGUAUAAACGCACUUCCCCCCCAGUCAGAAGUAAGUAUGACAUCAUAUAAAGGGAAUGUACACAACCCCAAAAGUGUCCUGCUGGUUUGUGUUAGCUUCCCUGGUCAGAUUCAUCCUGCGUAGCUCUAGUUAAGCUUUACCAGUUUGAAAAUAGGCAGAUAUCUGUUUGAACAAAGAGGGAACAAAGAGUUCACUGCGGGGAGAAGCUUCCCUGCACCCAGCAAACAUGGAGCAAAGCUGAUAGGAACAUUCCAAAGGUGAGUCCACACAAAUUGAUCCAUGGUCUUUUGGUAGAAAUUUAACCUCUCCUCCUCAAAAACUGCCAUGCUCGGGAAAAGAAUGAAGGAGAAGAGAGAUGAAAACUCUUACAGAGAGGUUUAAUUUUUUUUCUCCUUCAUCCAGAUAAAUAUUGGCAUAUUUCCCCAAACAGAUGGGUAAAAUGACCUGGGAGUUAAGGAGAAAGCAGGUCCUUAGACACUGAGGGGAACAGAAAUGUUACAUGUUUAGAACAAAUGACAUGCCAUGGUGGGCCAGGCUGAGUAAUGGCGGCCUUCCUCAAGGUUUGCUUCUUGGGAGCUUCGCUGGGGAUUUUCACUGAUGUGAGUGAUGAAAACACGUAUUUCUUCCUCUUAGUUGGAAAAAGGUCACUUUUGAAAAUGGACUUGAGAAUGGGUCUGAGAAGACAACAGCACUAUAAUGCACACUUGUUUCGUGUGCAUGUUGCUUAUCUCUACGUUAGUCAAUUAAACUGAGCUAAUGCCCAGUUGGUGGUGGUAAUACAGUUAGUGGUAUCGUUGUAGUUUAUCAAUGGCUUCUUUGAAAGCUGAGGUCCUAAGUAAGAUUAGAGAACAGGAGAAAAAAAAUAAAAACAAACCACUUGUAUUUGAACUGUGUAUUUACUGAAAGAUCAUAGCCCACUAGUAGGAGGUAUAUUGAGCAGAUGAGUUGGCAGAGCCACACAGACAGCUGGUUUUGUCUGGCAUACAGGUGUUUGACUUGGCUGCUUACAGAUGAGCCGUUAGAUGCCAGAAUCUGUGAGGGAUCACCUUGUUUAAGAAAAGGUAGCUCUUGUCCAUUCCCAUAGCAAGUUCAGUGAAUGAGCCAAAGUGGCUAUUUCAUUUCCUCCCUACUCAUCUCUGACAUGGUUCACAAACCCCACUCUUCUUCUGCAAGAGUUGAAUUUAGAUGGGAGAAAAAACAGUCACUGUAGUUAUGGGAUUGUGGUUUUGCCUUUUCUCAUGGUAGGUGUAGCAAGAACACACGUUGCUGGAGCUCAGUAAUCAUGUCCUGAAUCACAAGCUAUUGUUAAUAUUUUGUCAUUCUUCAGAAGACGGUUGGAACAUUUUCAAUAGAUAGCUGAGCUCUGUGUGCCUUUAUUUGAAAGAAUGUUUUUCAGUAGUUCCAAGAUGAGAUAGUAUUUGAAUGUAAGUAUGUUGGGAUUCAGUCUGAAACUUUUGGGUUUUGUCCAAAACUUAACAGUGCAGAAAUAGCUGUAUAACAUCAGCAAAGCCAGUUUGCUAUUUUUCAAAUUGUAGUGAGCCAUAAAGUAGAUGUGCUUUAUAUGCUGUUGAUAGGUGCCAUCUGAGAAUCUCCAAUAGCUGUGUUAGAUACACAUGGUUAAUGAAAUGCUC